GGUAUUAGUAUAUUGACUAAUUAAGUUGUACACUGAUAAUCCCUUUGCAACUGCAUGCCUACGAAAAUUAUACAUACUAAAACUAAAACUGGGGUGGGUACUGUGGAUGAUCAGUGGGCGGACCAUUUUGCCCCUCGCUUUUUCCUCCUUUUCCCCUUUGUGUCCUGCUUGGUGCGGUGGAAAGAACGGGUCGUCUGGCAUCCUGGGUCUGUAUGCUUCCACAUUUUUCCUUUUUGUUUAGCCCCUUCUCUGUUUUGCAUUUUGUCUAAACUGUGCUUUAUCCUCGGUCUUCCUCUCCGGUUCUUCUUCUUCGAUAUCUCUGGGUUGGAACAUAUUGGGGCAAAAGUUUGUGACUUUUGUGCUUUAGGGGAUCGUAUUUGUGGUCUCUGAUUUGAGGGGGGUUUCCCAUCUUUUUAAACCUGGGGGUCUGGGUGUUUUUUCCACCCUGGUAAAAUUGCUUUGCAAAAUUUCUGGGGUUGCGAUCGACGGUGAAUAUUUUGCGGUCUUUGCGUUUGUUUCCGUCUGUUGUUGACGGAUUUUGGCCGGAUCUGUUUCGAGUUUUGUUUUUCGUUUGACAACCGGUCUUUUUGCAUGGCUGGGAAACUAAUUUUAUGCGACUGAGGUAUGUUCUCUAAGUGGUGUUUUGGGUUUUGGUUAAUUUGGAUGAAAUUGUAACCAUUUUGUUUUGGGUCAGUUCUGAUCAUGUGCUGCGACUUUCCUGGCUAAGAGGAUAUUUUGCAUUUUGGUUCCUUGAUUGAUCAAUCGCAAAUUUGGCAGUGCCUCCAUUGAAAGGUGUUAGAUUAGAAUGUGUUUGUAACUUUUUGGAAGAAAUGAGGGGAAUGAUUGGAGUUUGGGUAAAUUUGGUGUUAGGUUAAAAUUCGUUUAUAAUUUUGGUGCACUGUGCAUUGCCAAUUCGUAAAAAAUUUUACAUUGCUGUUGAUGUCUUGCAUGUCCACCUUGCAAAGAUUACAAGGUAUGUUGCCACUCCUCAUGAUCUCCAUAUCUAUUGCCUAAAUAAUUCUUACAAAUAUUAUAUAACCCGUGUCAACUAGCAAAGAGCUGGAUCAUGUAUGGGGUCCAGACAUUUCAAUCUGGAAUUAUCUUAUAUAUAUUUGUAUGAUGAAAAAAAAAGAUACCGCCUCGCGCAACUUACAAGGAAUUCAUUUUUUAAGAAGCCGGAAAAACUCACAGAGGCAUUUCAACCUUCCCUUAGCCACCUUCUUAUGAUUCACCAGCGUCAGGAAUCGAACUCGGGACGUGCCGUGUAGAAUUCUCAAAUGAAAGACUGAAGAGUGAAAAGCAUAAUCCAAUGAUCUAAACAAAGAGUAGCACUCCAAGGUUCCAGGAGAUAACGUAAGGAAAUUAGUAAUUAUUUUCUUGUACAGUAAAUGAUUUCCUCAUGUGGUAGAUAAACUAUAACAGACAUUCAUUAACUGUCGUUAAGCUCAUAAUUAAAGAUUAAUUAGUAGGAUAAAGUGUGAUCUUAGUCGCUACUUUAAUUAUAUUGGUAAAUUAGGUUAAAGAGAGUUCGCAA